rnacentral:lncRNA from 1 species
UUUUUUUUUAGGUUCAUGUGUUUUUCAUGGUUCUCGUGACCUCUGCAGAAGCCCCAGCUCUGGAAAGAAAGAAGGAGCUGUUAAAUCCAGAACAUUUUCCUUAGAAUGUAUUUAUCAAAUCAGAGAUGAAAAGAAAAUGAAGGAACUGGGCCACAAGGAAGAAAAGAAGUGAAGAAUCCAAUACAAUCUGGGUCAUUUCAAACCAGCCACAGAGAACCUGCAUUUGGGGGACAUAUUUCAGGGAAGACACAGCCUACCAUUCAGAAUCCUCCCGAAUCUAUGAGACAAAGUGCUUCGGUGAAGCUCAGAGAUUCAGUUUGGAGUUGCUACCAAAGAAGGAAUCUGGAAACGGAUCCAACAUGCAGUCCAAACUUGCAAGUUCCCCAUGAAUCAUGAACUCAUUUCUGCUUGCCUGCUGACACUGAAGUAUGGACGUUUGAUGGCGGAUUCAUUUCUCUUUGUGGGGCAGCAACUACGUAAUGAAUUGGGGGAAAAAAUGGCAGUGGCUUUUAUAGCUUCAUUUGCUCCAGACAGCCUUCCCAUUGGAGAUCUUCCCAGAGAGAUGAUCCUUCUGCCUUCAGUUCAAUUGGCCUUUUUGGGGGCGCUUCAUGCUUGUUGA